rnacentral:rRNA from 1 species
CACGUAGGAGGCAAACGUUAUCCGGAUUUACUGGGCGUAAAGCGCGUGUAGGUGGUUCUGUAAGUAGGGCGUGAAAGCUCCCGGCUCAACUGGGAGAGGCCGUUCUAAACUGCAGAGCUAGAGGAUGGUAGAGGGAGGUGGAAUUCCAGGUGUAGCGGUGGAAUGCGCAGAUAUCUGGAGGAACACCAGUGGCGAAGGCGGCCUCCUGGACCAUUCCUGACACUCAGGCACGAAAGCGUGGGGAGCAAACAGGAUUAGAUACCCCUGUA